rnacentral:rRNA from 1 species
AUUGAACGCUGGCGGCAGGCCUAACACAUGCAAGUCGAACGAGUGGCGGACGGGUGAGUAAUGUCUGGGAAACUGCCUGAUGGAGGGGGAUAACUACUGGAAACGGUAGCUAAUACCGCAUACCAUCGGAUGUUCCCAGUUGGGCUUAGCUAGUAGGUGUGGUAAAGGCUCACCUAGGCGACGAUCCCUAGCUGGGCUGAGAGGAGGACCAGCCACACUGGAACUGAGACACGGUCCAGACUCCUACGGGAGGCAGCAGUGGGGAAUAUUGCACAAGGGGCGCAAGCCUGAUACAGCCAUGCCGCGUGUAUGAAGAAGGCCUUCGGGUUGUAAAGUACUUUCAGCAGGGAGGCGUUACCCGCAGAAGAAGCACCGGCUAACUCCGUGCCAGCAGCCGCGGUAAUUC